CCGGAGUUGAAGUCGAAAGUAAAACAGAGACCCGUGCAGAAGAAAUGGAGACGUUCGGUGAACAAGUUGAAAUCGGAAAAUAUAGCGGAGAGUCGUGGAGAAGAAAUGGAUGGAAGUGGAGAAGAAUUGGACGGAAGAGAAAAACGUUCACCGGAGGCGGGAGAGAGUUGAAGGGGGUAACUGCAGACGCGGGAGAGUUCAAAUGCUCUGGUUUACGUUUUUCUUUUGAACGGCCUUCUGUCUUUGGGUUGAAGAAAAGGAAAAAGAAGAAAAGAGGAAGGAAAAUAAAAGAGGGUAUUUUCGUCAUUUCACCUCCAAUUUAUCCUAAAUCUCAACUUUUUUACAAUCAAUCCUAAAACUCUUUUUC
rnacentral:lncRNA from 1 species